GUCCAGCUGAACGAUCAAACCACUUCACAUUUGAUUUCGCGCAAAGUGUAGAUAUACCGCACCAUGCACGACAGAUGGGGCCAUUAUAUUUCGCAUCGUUAAGAAAGGUCCACAUUUUUGGAAUGGGAAUUGAUGGACAAUCACUUCAAUUUAAUUUUCUUAUCGACGAAAAUUAGAGCAUCGGUGCAGAUGGAAUUAAUGCACAGGGACCAAACGCUGUCAUCUCGAUGAUAGACUACGUGCCAACACCCAUGGUUGCGCAGACCUCUCGUGCACAAUACACGCUGAUAAUUGUCCGGACGCUCGGACUGUGACAGCAUUCAACAGCUAAAGGAUAUUGUCAACAACUCGUCUACUGCAAACGAGGCUGUCCGAUAUCCGACCUGGCGCUGGCGUGACUGGAAGACUUUCUUGUCUACAUCUUUUAAAGCAAUACCCGGGAUAAGAAAGUACCAGUACUUCAGGUUCGACUCAUCGAAGCCCGGCACGGUUGUCGCGAAGAAAGCUACGGACCAUCCAGAAGUAGAGUUCUUCAUCAUGACACACAGGGAACUCCACUCAGCAGAACCGUGCUUAAUUAAUCCGGCAGGGCUAUCGGAGAAUCGCAUGAAAUACCUGUACAGGACUGUUCGACCAUUUGUGCGACCAUGUUAUCAGGACAUUACCUGUCCAACACCCACAGACUGAUUGCAUGUGAUUACAUCAAACAUCAACCUGAACAGUUAUUUAAAUCCAUGCGCAUGUUUAUUAAUUUGUUUCCAACAUGUUAUCGAAUAUUUGAAUAAGUGUUUGAUAUUGCGAAAUAUUUACAUACUGUUAUAGUCAUGAAUGCGUCAUUCCGAUUGAAAAUGACGCGACGUCAACAUCUUUGUUGCGUUACAGUAUGCGUAUAUAAUGUCGUCAUAGCAACGCUAAACAGUGGCGUACACAUGAAAUUUAUACACCAUUUGAUUUGUGGAUAAACGUACAAUAUGAAACUGAAAAAAACUAAAAAUUGAUUCUUUUGUCAUUAAUGCAGGUUUUGACGUGGAACGGCUCUUAACUACGUUUGAGUUUUUAUGACUUCAGUAGAAAAGCUCUGUUUAGAGUGUAAUCUGCAUAGAAAAAUCAUAAUAUUAUGUAUAUACGUUAUGCUUUUGAUAUAUUUGCGAAAUGAAAAUUGGGCUGUGACGAGAAAAUGUAGUCACACAUUACUUAAUGGGGCACACUUCAUAAAUUAAAAGCAAGAACAUCUCACACCUCAUUUUUCAACAGCCAGUUUUAUCGUAAAUUAUGGAUACUAGCAGGGUGUUAGACAAGAUAUAUUAACCACUCCAUUAGUAAUUAUACGUAGUUAUACAUUGAGCAAAGUUUACAUAUUUGUUUUGUAUUCAGCAAUGAAAGUAUGGAGAUUAUGGCAAUUUAUUUAUUUUAUCUAAAUGGAUCUUUAGAUAUAUAAUAUAAAGUUGACUGCAACAGGGAUUGAAAUAUGUUAUAUUUCCCUCUACUCUUGUUAAUUGUGCAAGCAAAAGAUGCCAUUAUUUUUGUUUUCUUUAACAAUUGUGUAAUAAUUCUGGUAUAUAGUAAAAUAUUAUAAAUUUCGUGGUACUUGACGGCUUCACGUAAGUCCCUUUUCACAUGGAUUGUUUCACUACGGAUAUUGAAUUUUUUGUUUUUACCAGAAGUCAAAAUGUAAAAACAACUUCAAUUUGUCAUCUUCACUGCUAAAUGAUGCGUCAAUAUUUACGAUAGAUUGUUCACUUUAACUCUUAGUACUUUUGGACAAAGAAGCAAUCUGGUUUCUCGAAAAGCGAAUUUGAAUGUUAUAAAGAUGGUUAUUAACUAAGAUUAGAUAGUAUCCAACAUGCAAUCUAAAUUCAUAUUUAUCCCGGCCAGGUGUGAAUUGUUGAGACAGUUUCAGGCUCAUAAAACAACAUUGAUUGUGUCAUGAUAAUCUUCCAAAAACAUACACGGUCAUGUGUAUCUUUGUAGAUUUGAUCACCAUUAAGGAACUAUUAAUUUCUUAAAUGACUCCAUGUGUCCGGGUAAACUUAUAACCUGUUUAUUAAAAAUGCAGCAAUUUAUCACUAAACCCUUUCUGGUUUUGCACAAAAUGUAUAUUAACAAUUAUUGUAUAAAUUGAUCCAUAUGGAAGUAAUUCUAAGCUAUGUUUCUAUGUCAAUUAGUAUUGUAUUUGGUCCCACAUAACAUAAUUCCUAUACGAUGCAUUGUAUAAGUUUAAGUCAUUCUUAAAAUGCUAAUAACCGGAAUGGGCGGUGGAUGAUUUCCCUUUGAGUCGGUUUUGUUCGCCCAUAGCGUCAUUGACAAAAAACUUCCUUGUUCAGUGCAUAUAACAGAUAGUUAUGUAUAUUCAAUGUAUACGUUAUUGUGUGGCAUUUUAUGAAGUGCUUAUUUCAAAAACAUUUAAUAUCGUGCUUUUCUAUUGAUACCAUACAAGUUAGAAUGAUUAUCAGAAAUGAUCCGGGGAAAAAUAAAAAACUAUAGUUUCUGAAAAACAGAUCUUAUAUUUCCCUUGCUGAAAAUAACAUUAAUUUUACAAUUACAUUGUUGCGUAUUUGAAGUAUUAUAUGAUGGUUAAAACACGUAUACGUUUCAGUUAAAACUCACUAAUAUGUACUAGUACUUAUGAAAUAUUAUGAGCAUUAAUUAUACGCUUAAAUAAUAUAAUUUAGUCGUACUCGGUUUUCCUAAUUCACUUAAUGCAUGAGAUCUAUGAAAAUAUAACCGAAUAAGGAUAUAUCUAUUUAACUCAAUUCGAAUACUAAUAACAGUACUUUAAUGUGGCCAUAAGCUAUAUACGAUAGAAAAUAUAUCCAUAUUCAAUCAUGUGAUGACACAUUUAGCUGGGAUAACGGUCACAUACAUUAUUUUAAAGCAUGAUUAGAUAUUAUGAAACUUGCAACAAAAGUAUGAGUUCUCAUAUUGUCGAGAUGAAUUGAUGUGAUAUAAAAUGAAUGUGCAAACACUUUGUAAAAUGAUUUCGGUGUACAAAAACAACAUUAAAAAGAUUUGAAAUGCAAGUUCCAGCUGCGGUUGAUGUUAAUUAGCUCUCUGUGGAUAUUCACUUGAUAAUGUUUUUGAUACAAGUUAAUAUGCAAAGUUUCUAUAGGUGAUAUCUGCAUCUGAGGAAAAGCUAUACUAAGACAAAAAGAAAAACAUGUUUGUAAAACUUUAUUGUUCCGCUGUGGAGCCCUUCAAUGCUAGCACGCACUAAAAAUAAAUACGAUACGUAAAAUACAUUUGUUAUUUAGUUAUUGGUUCAACACUGUAAAAUACAAUUGUAUAAG